GCUGGACACUGUGAUGUGUGCCUGUAGUCCCAGCUACUGGGGAAGCUAAAACAGGAGGAUCAUUUGAACCCAGGAGUUCUGGACUGUAGUGUGCUGUGCUGACUAGGUAUCUGCACUAAGUUCAGCAUCAAUAUAGUGAUUUCGUAGGAGCAGGGGACCACCAGUUUGCCAAGGACAGGUGAACCAGCCCAGUGAAGCCUGUCAAGACUCCCGUGGUGAUCAGUAGUAGGAUCAUACCUGGGAAUAGCCACUGUACUUCAGCUUAGGAAACUUAUAUAGGCUGCCCCAGAUUAC
rnacentral:SRP_RNA from 1 species